rnacentral:rRNA from 1 species
UACGUAGGGUGCAAGCGUUAAUCGGAAUUACUGGGCGUAAAGCGUGCGCAGGCGGCUUUGCAAGACAGGUGUGAAAGCCCCGAGCUUAACUUGGGAAUUGCGCUUGUGACUGGCGAGCUGGAGUGUGGCAGAGGGAGGUGGAAUUCCACGUGUAGCAGUUAAAUGCGUAGAGAUGUGGAGGAACACCGAUGGCGAAGGCAGCCUCCUGGGCCAGCACUGACGCUCAUGCACGAAAGCGUGGGGAGCAAACAGG